rnacentral:rRNA from 1 species
UUAAGCGACUAAGCGUACACGGUGGAUGCCCUGGCAGUCAGAGGCGAUGAAGGGCGUGCUAAUCUGCGAUAAGCGCCGGUAAGGUGAUAUGAACCGUUAUAACCGGCGAUACCCGAAUGGGGAAACCCAGUGUGACUCGUCACACUAUCAUUAACUGAAUCCAUAGGUUAAUGAGGCGAACCGGGGGAACUGAAACAUCUAAGUACCCCGAGGAAAAGAAAUCAACCGAGAUUCCCCCAGUAGCGGCGAGCGAACGGGGAGGAGCCCAGAGCCUGAAUCAGCAUGUGUGUUAGUGGAAGCGUCUGGAAAGGCGCGCGAUACAGGGUGACAGCCCCGUACACAAAAGCGCAUGUGCUGUGAGCUCGAUGAGUAGGGCGGGACACGUGGUAUCCUGUCUGAAUAUGGGGGGACCAUCCUCCAAGGCUAAAUACUCCUGACUGACCGAUAGUGAACCAGUACCGUGAGGGAAAGGCGAAAAGAACCCCGGCGAGGGGAGUGAAAAAGAACCUGAAACCGUGUACGUACAAGCAGUGGGAGCCCCACCACCAAAGCAUUCUCUGGUGUUGAAGGCCCUGCAAAGCAGCAUCGCGGUGGCGGAGCGUCGUUUGCGACGCCCAACACACAAAACAAGCGGUGAGUGCUUUGGGGUGGGGUGACUGCGUACCUUUUGUAUAAUGGGUCAGCGACUUAUAUUCUGUAGCAAGGUUAACCGUAUAGGGGAGCCGGAGGGAAACCGAGUCUUAACCGGGCGUUAAGUUGCAGGGUAUAGACCCGAAACCCGGUGAUCUAGCCAUGGGCAGGUUGAAGGUUGGGUAACACUAACUGGAGGACCGAACCGACUAAUGUUGAAAAAUUAGCGGAUGACCUGUGGCUGGGGGUGAAAGGCCAAUCAAACCGGGAGAUAGCUGGUUCUCCCCGAAAGCUAUUUAGGUAGCGCCUCGUGAAUUCAUCUCCGGGGGUAGAGCACUGUUUCGGCUAGGGGGCCAUCCCGGCUUACCAACCCGAUGCAAACUGCGAAUACCGGAGAAUGUUAUCACGGGAGACACACGGCGGGUGCUAACGUCCGUCGUGAAGAGGGAAACAACCCAGACCGCCAGCUAAGGUCCCAAAGUCAUGGUUAAGUGGGAAACGAUGUGGGAAGGCCCAGACAGCCAGGAUGUUGGCUUAGAAGCAGCCAUCAUUUAAAGAAAGCGUAAUAGCUCACUGGUCGAGUCGGCCUGCGCGGAAGAUGUAACGGGGCUAAACCAUGCACCGAAGCUGCGGCAGCGACGCUUAUGCGUUGUUGGGUAGGGGAGCGUUCUGUAAGCCUGUGAAGGUGGCCUGUGAGGGUUGCUGGAGGUAUCAGAAGUGCGAAUGCUGACAUAAGUAACGAUAAAGCGGGUGAAAAGCCCGCUCGCCGGAAGACCAAGGGUUCCUGUCCAACGUUAAUCGGGGCAGGGUGAGUCGACCCCUAAGGCGAGGCCGAAAGGCGUAGUCGAUGGGAAACGGGUUAAUAUUCCCGUACUUGGUGUUACUGCGAAGGGGGGACGGAGAAGGCUAUGUUGGCCGGGCGACGGUUGUCCCGGUUUAAGCGUGUAGGUGUGUGUUCCAGGUAAAUCCGGUUCACUUUAACACUGAGGCGUGAUGACGAGGCACUACGGUGCUGAAGCAACAAAUGCCCUGCUUCCAGGAAAAGCCUCUAAGCAUCAGGUAACAUCAAAUCGUACCCCAAACCGACACAGGUGGUCAGGUAGAGAAUACCAAGGCGCUUGAGAGAACUCGGGUGAAGGAACUAGGCAAAAUGGUGCCGUAACUUCGGGAGAAGGCACGCUGACACGUAGGUGAAGUGAUUUACUCAUGGAGCUGAAGUCAGUCGAAGAUACCAGCUGGCUGCAACUGUUUAUUAAAAACACAGCACUGUGCAAACACGAAAGUGGACGUAUACGGUGUGACGCCUGCCCGGUGCCGGAAGGUUAAUUGAUGGGGUCAGCGCAAGCGAAGCUCCUGAUCGAAGCCCCGGUAAACGGCGGCCGUAACUAUAACGGUCCUAAGGUAGCGAAAUUCCUUGUCGGGUAAGUUCCGACCUGCACGAAUGGCGUAAUGAUGGCCAGGCUGUCUCCACCCGAGACUCAGUGAAAUUGAACUCGCUGUGAAGAUGCAGUGUACCCGCGGCAAGACGGAAAGACCCCGUGAACCUUUACUAUAGCUUGACACUGAACAUUGAGCCUUGAUGUGUAGGAUAGGUGGGAGGCUUUGAAGUGUGGACGCCAGUCUGCAUGGAGCCGACCUUGAAAUACCACCCUUUAAUGUUUGAUGUUCUAACGUGGACCCGUAAUCCGGGUUGCGGACAGUGUCUGGUGGGUAGUUUGACUGGGGCGGUCUCCUCCUAAAGAGUAACGGAGGAGCACGAAGGUUGGCUAAUCCUGGUCGGACAUCAGGAGGUUAGUGCAAUGGCAUAAGCCAGCUUGACUGCGAGCGUGACGGCGCGAGCAGGUGCGAAAGCAGGUCAUAGUGAUCCGGUGGUUCUGAAUGGAAGGGCCAUCGCUCAACGGAUAAAAGGUACUCCGGGGAUAACAGGCUGAUACCGCCCAAGAGUUCAUAUCGACGGCGGUGUUUGGCACCUCGAUGUCGGCUCAUCACAUCCUGGGGCUGAAGUAGGUCCCAAGGGUAUGGCUGUUCGCCAUUUAAAGUGGUACGCGAGCUGGGUUUAGAACGUCGUGAGACAGUUCGGUCCCUAUCUGCCGUGGGCGCUGGAGAACUGAGGGGGGCUGCUCCUAGUACGAGAGGACCGGAGUGGACGCAUCACUGGUGUUCGGGUUGUCAUGCCAAUGGCACUGCCCGGUAGCUAAAUGCGGAAGAGAUAAGUGCUGAAAGCAUCUAAGCACGAAACUUGCCCCGAGAUGAGUUCUCCCUGAGACUUAGAGUCUCCUGAAGGAACGUUGAAGACGACGACGUUGAUAGGCCGGGUGUGUAAGCGCAGCGAUGCGUUGAGCUAACCGGUACUAAUGAACCGUGAGGCUUAACCUU